GAUACCCGAAUUCCAUCCGUUGGAGCUUAAACCCUCGGAAAAAACCUAGUCGGCGCUGAUGUCGUAUUCUCUUUCUCCCUUUCCACUUCAAAUUUUCUUCAUUGCCGAUAACUCAGAGACUCCCCAAUCAGCCGAAAAAACUCUUCAAUAAAGCUAUAAUUUUGAGCACUGGAAAUGCUCUCAGUAUAUAGGAGCAGCUCAGUUGAGUGGAAGCCAUCACCGGUGGUAGCUUUAGCUACCAUCGCCGACGAUUUUCAAGUAGCUGCCGCUCGUGAAGACGGCUCCCUUGAGAUUUGGCUCGUUUCUCCUGGCUCUGUCGGCUGGCACUGUCAGCUGCGCCGAUGAUUCUCAAGUUGCUGCCGCUCGUGAAGACGGCUCUCUUGAGAUUUGGCUCGUUUCUCCUGGCUCUGUCGGCUGGCACUGUCAGCUCGUACGUACAUAUAUACUUAUAU
rnacentral:lncRNA from 1 species